rnacentral:rRNA from 1 species
UUGUACCUACGGGGGGCAGCAGUGAGGAAUAUUGGUCAAUGGGCGAGAGCCUGAACCAGCCAAGUCGCGUGAAGGAUGACGGCCCUAUGGGUUGUAAACUUCUUUUGUCAGGGAGCAAUUGAGUCCACGUGUGGGCUUAGCGAGAGUACCUGAAGAAAAAGCAUCGGCUAACUCCGUGCCAGCAGCCGCGGUAAUACGGAGGAUGCGAGCGUUAUCCGGAUUUAUUGGGUUUAAAGGGUGCGUAGGCGGUCCGUUAAGUCAGCGGUAAAAUUGCGGGGCUCAACCCCGUCGAGCCGUUGAAACUG